UNGCCGGGACCUGAAGGAAAAAAGCCCUAUC
rnacentral:piRNA from 1 species